AUUUAUAUAGUUUAAAAAAAAACUUUACAUUUUCAUUGUAAAAAUAAAAAAAUUUUUUUGUAAAUA
rnacentral:tRNA from 1 species